GGGGUUAUAGCUCAGUGGUAGAGCACAUGCAUAGCAUGCACGAGGUCCUGGGUUCAAUCCCCAGUCCCUCCA
rnacentral:tRNA from 1 species